rnacentral:lncRNA from 1 species
UUUAUCAUGAUGGAGGGCACAGUAGUACACUGGACCGUAGAGAAGCUACCAACCAUUUGUGGCCUAUAAGGAGAGUAGUAAGUGCCCCUAACCUUCCCAUGUUCACUUUGCACACACACUCUGAGGUGCGUGGAGAUGGGAUAAGAGUCUGUAAGAGGAGGCACAGUUCACUUCCUACCCUUUCUUUACUUAAGGGUAGCUUCCUGGAAAACACUUCCCCACUGCAGGUGCUUAUGCCUCAUUUCAGAAAGGGGAAAUUCAGAAAGAAGGAGGGCAGCAUUGAUUCUAGAACUUCAUCUUCAAGAAAAGGAGAGUCAACAACAGCUACAAGAACAACAACAACGU